AUGAACGCUGGCGGCGUGCCUCAUACAUGCAAGUCGAGCGAACAGACGAGGAGCUUGCUCCUCUGACGUUAGCGGCGGACGGGUGAGUAACACGUGGAUAACCUACCUAUAAGACUGGGAUAACUUCGGGAAACCGGAGCUAAUACCGGAUAAUAUAUUGAACCGCAUGGUUCAAUAGUGAAAGACGGCUUUGCUGUCACUUAUAGAUGGAUCCGCGCCGCAUUAGCUAGUUGGUAAGGUAACGGCUUACCAAGGCAACGAUGCGUAGCCGACCUGAGAGGGUGAUCGGCCACACUGGAACUGAGACACGGUCCAGACUCCUACGGGAGGCAGCAGUAGGGAAUCUUCCGCAAUGGGCGAAAGCCUGACGGAGCAACGCCGCGUGAGUGAUGAAGGUCUUCGGAUCGUAAAACUCUGUUAUUAGGGAAGAACAAAUGUGUAAGUAACUAUGCACGUCUUGACGGUACCUAAUCAGAAAGCCACGGCUAACUACGUG
rnacentral:rRNA from 1 species